AAGUACUUAGAAGCAAAAACAAAUUCUAGUGAAAGAUACAUAGGACGCUGACUUCUGAUUGUCUGACCAAGUAAGAUCCAGGUAAUAGCACAAAAGACUUCUCAGCUUCUACUGAUACAUCUCAACCAUGAGGUAAAGCAAUGACUACCAGGACACAAAGCAGCAAAGCAGAAGACCUGUCCUAUGUGUGAGUGUGGCAAUUCAGACAAGUCUCUUACAGAGUAGUGCAGACAGCUUUAUUUAAUACUCUGCUGGAACUGCAGCAUUCUCAGUACUCCCUCCAACCUCUUGUUUACUUCAGAAGCUGAGUAACCGAGCAGAGAGCUGAUAGGCGGAACAAGGAAGAGACUUAAGAGACACUACAUCCUUAAAGCAGCGAAAGAGACAACAGAACACACCAAGGACUGACUGAGGUGCAGUUACACCUCGAAAGACAUCUUGUGUGUGUGGCAGAUUCACCAGAGACUGCUGUACCAUAUGGAGAGAUCAGACGGAAUCCAAAUGCAAAACAGCAGAAUUAGCAAGGCACGGUGCCCAAGCGAAAAACAGCCAUUGGCAGUUUGGCAACCAUUUCAGCUGCUAAUUGAACCCCUCUGCAGCACGGACUGGCUACCCAAAGACAACCUGACUUGUCCUCCAGCAUUAUCCUGAAGGAGCAAUGCUCCCAUUACUCACUUUGCUUCAUGGAAUGACUGACACCUACUGGGAUUUUUGAAGUUUUUACAAACUUACAGCUACGCACGAGAAACAGGCGAUGGCAUUUCUUCUUGGUAUAUCCACUUAUCUAGAAGAUGAGCCAGGCCUGGUCUACAAAAUGAGUUCUGUGCCGUUUAAUUUUGGCAGGUUUUGCCACCGUGCAAAUUCUUGGGACAACAAACAACGUUGCAUUGACAAGAAACAGGAAAGCAUAGAAUCACUCACCUGAACAGGUUAUUUACAGGUAGAGCAAGUUUAACAUCAUGAAAAUACUGAAAAGUUUGCUUCAAAAGG